CCUACGGGAGGCAGCAGUGGGGAAUAUUGGACAAUGGGGGCAACCCUGAUCCAGCCAUGCCGCGUGUGUGAAGAAGGCCCUCGGGUUGUAAAGCACUUUCAGUGAGGAAGAACGCCUGGUGGUUAAUACCCAUCAGGAAAGACAUCACUCACAGAAGAAGCACCGGCUAACUCCGUGCCAGCAGCCGCGGUAAUACGGAGGGUGCGAGCGUUAAUCGGAAUUACUGGGCGUAAAGCGCGCGUAGGUGGCUUGAUAAGCCGGUUGUGAAAGCCCCGGGCUCAACCCGGGAACGGCAUCCGGAACUGUCAAGCUAGAGUGCAGGAGAGGAAGGUAGAAUUCCCGGUGUAGCGGUGAAAUGCGUAGAGAUCGGGAGGAAUACCAGUGGCGAAGGCGGCCUUCUGGACUGACACUGACACUGAGGUGCGAAAGCGUGGGUAGCAAACAGGAUUAGAUACCCGAGUAGUC
rnacentral:rRNA from 1 species